ACCCCACACACACCAUCCGGCCAGCCCCCAGCAUCCCCAGCUCUGGCCCAGGGACCCCCACCCAUUGCCCUUCCUCUGGCCUGGCUCCAGUUCUGCAGGAAAUACCCCCCGCCCCCUACCCCAGGCCAUGAUUAGAGGCCAGAGGCUGGGCUCUUCCUGAGGAGGGAGGGAUGCUGCAUUCCUCUGGCACCCAGAACCUGGCUGUCUUCUCUGUUCUCCAUCCAUGCAUGAGUCCAGGGAAGAGGCAUCCACCAGUCAAGACCUAAGCCUGGUUCUGUUUUCUUAGUGGUAGAACUCUUUGCUGCUUGCCCAUGACCUCCCAGGGGCACCAGGACCCUGCAGAGCUCCAGAUAUUUCAGUAAUAUUGUAAAUUAAAACAACAUGGCUUUAAAACAUUUAGUAGCCUUGAAAGAAUAAAACCCAGCAGCCUGAAACCAUCCCUUCCUACCACCCACCCAUGUUCCUCUGGUUGCUACAGUCACUUUUAGCUUCCAGCCCUUUCUUCUGAUAGUUGCAAAUCCUCAAUACAUGUCUUCAGUUACACAUUGAUCAGCUUUAAAUAUCAAUUGUGGAUAAUCUAUGAAUGAUCCCUAUAUGAUAGCUAAUGUCUGAGUUCCUUACUACCACCUGACGUCUCCCCCAUCUUCCAAUAUCAUUGUCAUAUUUUUGGUUAUAAACCACUAUUUACAGUAUUAGGAUUAUGUAAAUGUUUUUCACUGUGACAUGAGACAGUGCACUUGUUUGAAUUUCCUUUAUUAUGAAGGCUUUUGUUUUUCCUGGGGUUUCUAUUUGCCUUUGCUUUUUCUUUACUCUUUGCCCUUGUAGUAGCCCCAUGCCAGGGGAGAGGCUGUUUGUUGUUUGUUUGCUUUUCACAGGGUUCUACCAUUUCCUUUGUUGUUCUCAGAGACCUCCUUUCUGGGACUUUCUGGUCUCCUGCUUCUAUCUGGACUGUUAUUCACUUAGCUUGAAUCAUCUAAGCAUUUAUUCAAGAUACCUGAUCCAGCAUGAUGAAAAGACGUCACUAGGCAUCAUGACGCAGCAGCCUAACUUCUGAAAAGUUACGCAAAGCCUCAUAAACCCAAGAACUCCCUUCUUCCCUUAAUGCUGAAUCCAGCUUUCCCCCUAACUAUGAUUCUAACACACACCACUGCAUAUUCACACACAGCAGACUCUCUCACCCUCAGUUAACCCAUUAUAUUUCCUGAAGUGGGUUGUUGACGAGGGUUAUGCACAAAAUUCCAAGUCAAAACAAUCAUGGUUAACUUAUGAGCACUUUCUGCUCUCUUGACCUCAGUUCAUGCCUCAGCUUUCACACCAAGUCAUCUGUCUUUCGCGGUCCAAGUAACUACCAUUGAUUCUGCCAUCUUUCCAUCUUCCCCCCUUUUACUGAGACUCAUUAUUAACCCCACAAAACUCUGUUCAGUGAAAACUUGCAGAUUCCAUCCGCAUAGAAUCAUCUGACGUGUUGGUUAAAAAUGUUAUUCCUGAGCCCCACCCCAGACUUACUCAUUCCAGUUCUCUGGAAGUGGAGAUGGGAAUCUACAACUUUAACAAGCUCCUUGGACCACUCCCAUACUCAGGUUUGAGACUGACUGCUGAUGUAUAUAGUCACUCAUAUACUCUCUCCCCCUACCCAGCUGUUCUUUAAGGUCAUUAAAAGGAAAUUCAUUGUGACUAUAUGAUUCCCUAAAGUUGCAAUGACAUCUCACCACGUGCCAGGCACCACAACUUUAUAGACAUUCUCUCAUGGACCCAUAGACUGUACAGACCCCGGGACUGCCUAUCCUGCCUGCCUUUACCACCAGGGGCCUGGAAAGCCAGCUUCCCAAUCUAGCACCAGCCCUCUGUCUUUAAAUGUCAGCUCCUGUCUUCACCUGGCUCCCUCUCGUCAUGAGUCUCUAUUUCCAUUCCUUGUAUUUGAAGAGAAGACUGGUUUUCAGGAGACUGUAAUGAGUACUACACUUGCCAAGGGUUCUCUGGUCAUAUAGGUCUACAGACUUCGGAAUAAAUAAGGUUCAAUAAGUGAAACAGAAAUUUUCAGAGGUUUUAAACGUUCACGUCCAUUGUCAAAUUCCAAAAAGAGAGCUGUCAUGAGAGGACUUUUCUUUUUGAACUUAUUUGCACAGUGAACACGUUUUUCCAGGCAGAAUUUUACCCAAUGACCCACCUACCCCACCACACACACUCAGAUACACACACAGCAUGCAUACAUGUGCGCGCACGCACACACACACAAUUCACCAGUGUGCUACUGAACAUCUUCCUGGAAAUGCUGCCAUAGUGUCUGAAUUCAUGAGACCCUAAUGCGAGAAACAAGAGAGUCCAGGGUCUGAGACGUUAGAGAGGAAGAGGCUUUGGGGCGAGAGGGGAAAGAGAAAGAAGUGUUCCUCUACACACACAAUCUGUCAGCAAAUGGCCAACAACCAAUGGACGAUCCCCAGGCCAGGCUAAAUCUGUCCUCAGAGAUAUGCGUGUCAUUAAGCCAGGACAAGGAAAUAAAAAUGAGCAGUUGCAACACUGGCACAAAUAACUCAAAGAGAGGAUCACAGGGAUUAUGGCAAACUAGUGAAUGCAAGCUUUGGCCACUGAGGCCAGGCGGAAAAGCGAGCUUGGUCUGAUCCAGUCUGCUCCGUUUUCAAGUGAAUCCAGAAAGAAAUCCAGAUUUGUGUAUGAUUUGUAAAUGUUGGCAACACAUUGAAAACUUUUUUUAAAAACACUCCACGGGCCAAACUAAACACCUCUGUGGGCAGCGAGUGACCUCUGGAUUAAACUGUUUGGCUAUUUUCGUGGA